rnacentral:rRNA from 8 species
AUUGAACGCUGGCGGCAGGCCUAACACAUGCAAGUCGAGCGGCAGCGGGAAAGUAGCUUGCUACUUUUGCCGGCGAGCGGCGGACGGGUGAGUAAUGCCUGGGGAUCUGCCCAGUCGAGGGGGAUAACUACUGGAAACGGUAGCUAAUACCGCAUACGCCCUACGGGGGAAAGCAGGGGACCUUCGGGCCUUGCGCGAUUGGAUGAACCCAGGUGGGAUUAGCUAGUUGGUGAGGUAACGGCUCACCAAGGCGACGAUCCCUAGCUGGUCUGAGAGGAUGAUCAGCCACACUGGAACUGAGACACGGUCCAGACUCCUACGGGAGGCAGCAGUGGGGAAUAUUGCACAAUGGGGGAAACCCUGAUGCAGCCAUGCCGCGUGUGUGAAGAAGGCCUUCGGGUUGUAAAGCACUUUCAGCGAGGAGGAAAGGUCAGUAGCUAAUAUCUGCUGGCUGUGACGUACUCGCAG